UACGUAGGGGGCUAGCGUUGUCCGGAAUCAUUGGGCGUAAAGAGCGUGUAGGCGGCCCGGUAAGUCCGCUGUGAAAGUCGGGGGCUCAACCCUCGAAAGCCGGUGGAUACUGUCGGGCUAGAGUACGGAAGAGGCGAGUGGAAUUCCUGGUGUAGCGGUGAAAUGCGCAGAUAUCAGGAGGAACACCAAUUGCGAAGGCAGCUCGCUGGGACGUUACUGACGCUGAGACGCGAAAGCGUGGGGAGCAAACAGG
rnacentral:rRNA from 1 species